UACGAAGGGGGCUAGCGUUGUUCGGAAUCACUGGGCGUAAAGGGCGCGUAGGCGGCUUUAUAAGUCGGGGGUGAAAGCCUGUGGCUCAACCACAGAAUUGCCUUCGAUACUGUAGAGCUUGAGACCGGAAGAGGUAAGUGGAACUGCGAGUGUAGAGGUGAAAUUCGUAGAUAUUCGCAAGAACACCAGUGGCGAAGGCGGCUUACUGGUCCGGUUCUGACGCUGAGGAGCGAAAGCGUGGGGAGCAAACAGG
rnacentral:rRNA from 1 species